rnacentral:ncRNA from 2 species
CCCUAGCCCUGAUGGUAGCGGCAUCCUUUUGUUUUGCGCCGGAAGGAAGCAAAACAAAAGAUACAGCGGACAGCAGGAAGAAGC